rnacentral:ribozyme from 1 species
UGCCCAGUAACUCCUCCCUACCUCCGCGUGGUGCCACCUGGGGUACGAGUAACCAUAGGGAAGAUCGGGUAACCAGCCUCGGUAGGACCUUCGUCGUAUGCUGACAGGGAAGG